rnacentral:rRNA from 1 species
GACGAACGCUGGCGGCGUGCUUAACACAUGCAAGUCGAACGAAGAGCGAUGGAAGCUUGCUUCUAUCAAUCUUAGUGGCGAACGGGUGAGUAACGCGUAAUCAACCUGCCCUUCAGAGGGGGACAACAGUUGGAAACGACUGCUAAUACCGCAUACGAUCUGACCUCGGCAUCGAGGAUAGAUGAAAGGUGGCCUCUACAUGUAAGCUAUCACUGAAGGAGGGGAUUGCGUCUGAUUAGCUAGUUGGAGGGGUAACGGCCCACCAAGGCGAUGAUCAGUAGCCGGUCUGAGAGGAUGAACGGCCACAUUGGGACUGAGACACGGCCCAGACUCCUACGGGAGGCAGCAGUGGGGAAUCUUCCGCAAUGGACGAAAGUCUGACGGAGCAACGCCGCGUGAGUGAUGACGGCCUUCGGGUUGUAAAGCUCUGUUAAUCGGGACGAAAGGCCUUUUUGCGAAUAGUGAGAAGGAUUGACGGUACCGGAAUAGAAAGCCACGGCUAACUACGU